rnacentral:rRNA from 1 species
GGGCGCACGGUGGAUGCCUUGACACUAGGAGUCGAUGAAGGACGGGACUAACGCCGAUAUGCUUCGGGGAGCUGUAAGUAAGCUUUGAUCCGAAGAUUUCCGAAUGGGGAAACCCACCAUACGUAAUGGUAUGGUAUCCUUAUCUGAAUACAUAGGGUAAGGAAGACAGACCCAGGGAACUGAAACAUCUAAGUACGUGGAGGAAGAGAAAGCAAAUGCGAUUUCCUGAGUAGCGGCGAGCGAAACGGAACAUAGCCCAAACCAAGAGGCUUGCCUCUUGGGGUUGUAGGACAUUCUAUACGGAGUUACAAAGGAACGAGGUAGACGAAGCGACCUGGAAAGGUCCGUCGUAGAGGGUAACAACCCCGUAGUCGAAACUUCGUUCUCUCUUGAAUGUAUCCUGAGUACGGCGGAACACGUGAAAUUCCGUCGGAAUCUGGGAGGACCAUCUCCCAAGGCUAAAUACUCCCUAGUGAUCGAUAGUGAACCAGUACCGUGAGGGAAAGGUGAAAAGCACCCCGGAAGGGGAGUGAAAGAGAUCCUGAAACCGUGUGCCUACAAAUAGUCAGAGCCCGUUAACGGGUGAUGGCGUGCCUUUUGUAGAAUGAACCGGCGAGUUACGAUCCCGUGCGAGGUUAAGCUGAAGAGGCGGAGCCGCAGCGAAAGCGAGUCUGAAUAGGGCGUUUAGUACGUGGUCGUAGACCCGAAACCAGGUGAUCUACCCAUGUCCAGGGUGAAGUUCAGGUAACACUGAAUGGAGGCCCGAACCCACGCACGUUGAAAAGUGCGGGGAUGAGGUGUGGGUAGCGGAGAAAUUCCAAUCGAACCUGGAGAUAGCUGGUUCUCCCCGAAAUAGCUUUAGGGCUAGCCUUAAGUGUAAGAGUCUUGGAGGUAGAGCACUGAUUGGACUAGGGGUCCUCAUCGGAUUACCGAAUUCAGUCAAACUCCGAAUGCCAAUGACUUAUCCUUAGGAGUCAGACUGCGAGUGAUAAGAUCCGUAGUCAAAAGGGAAACAGCCCAGACCGCCAGCUAAGGUCCCAAAGUGUGUAUUAAGUGGAAAAGGAUGUGGAGUUGCUUAGACAACUAGGAUGUUGGCUUAGAAGCAGCCACCAUUUAAAGAGUGCGUAAUAGCUCACUAGUCGAGUGACUCUGCGCCGAAAAUGUACCGGGGCUAAAUACACCACCGAAGCUGCGGAUUGAUACCGAAUGGUAUCAGUGGUAGGGGAGCGUUCUAAGGACAGUGAAGUCAGACCGGAAGGACUGGUGGAGUGCUUAGAAGUGAGAAUGCCGGUAUGAGUAGCGAAAGACGGGUGAGAAUCCCGUCCACCGAAUGCCUAAGGUUUCCUGAGGAAGGCUCGUCCGCUCAGGGUUAGUCAGGACCUAAGCCGAGGCCGACAGGCGUAGGCGAUGGACAACAGGUUGAUAUUCCUGUACCACCUCUUUAUCGUUUGAGCAAUGGAGGGACGCAGAASGAUAGAAGAAGCGUGCGAUUGGUUGUGCACGUCCAAGCAGUUAGGCUGAUAAGUAGGCAAAUCCGCUUAUCGUGAAGGCUGAGCUGUGAUGGGGAAGCUCCUUAUGGAGCGAAGUCUUUGAUUCCCCGCUGCCAAGAAAAGCUUCUAGCGAGAUAAAAGGUGCCUGUACCGCAAACCGACACAGGUAGGCCAGGAGAGAAUCCUAAGGUGUGCGAGAGAACUCUGGUUAAGGAACUCGGCAAAAUGACCCCGUAACUUCGGGAGAAGGGGUGCUUUCUUAACGGAAAGCCGCAGUGAAUAGGCCCAAGCGACUGUUUAGCAAAAACACAGCUCUCUGCGAAGCCGUAAGGCGAAGUAUAGGGGGUGACACCUGCCCGGUGCUGGAAGGUUAAGGAGAGGGGUUAGCGUAAGCGAAGCUCUGAACUGAAGCCCCAGUAAACGGCGGCCGUAACUAUAACGGUCCUAAGGUAGCGAAAUUCCUUGUCGGGUAAGUUCCGACCCGCACGAAAGGUGUAACGAUUUGGGCACUGUCUCAACCAGAGACUCGGUGAAAUUAUAGUACCUGUGAAGAUGCAGGUUACCCGCGACAGGACGGAAAGACCCCGUGGAGCUUUACUGUAGCCUGAUAUUGAAUUUUGGUACAGUUUGUACAGGAUAGGCGGGAGCCUUUGAAACCGGAGCGCUAGCUUCGGUGGAGGCGCUGGUGGGAUACCGCCCUGACUGUAUUGAAAUUCUAACCUACGGGUCUUAUCGACCCGGGAGACAGUGUCAGGUGGGCAGUUUGACUGGGGCGGUCGCCUCCUAAAGUGUAACGGAGGCGCCCAAAGGUUCCCUCAGAAUGGUUGGAAAUCAUUCGUAGAGUGCAAAGGCAUAAGGGAGCUUGACUGCGAGACCUACAAGUCGAGCAGGGACGAAAGUCGGGCUUAGUGAUCCGGUGGUUCCGCAUGGAAGGGCCAUCGCUCAACGGAUAAAAGCUACCCCGGGGAUAACAGGCUUAUCUCCCCCAAGAGUCCACAUCGACGGGGAGGUUUGGCACCUCGAUGUCGGCUCAUCGCAUCCUGGGGCUGUAGUCGGUCCCAAGGGUUGGGCUGUUCGCCCAUUAAAGCGGUACGCGAGCUGGGUUCAGAACGUCGUGAGACAGUUCGGUCCCUAUCCGUCGUGGGCGUAGGAAAUUUGAGAGGAGCUGUCCUUAGUACGAGAGGACCGGGAUGGACGCACCGCUGGUGUACCAGUUGUUCUGCCAAGGGCAUAGCUGGGUAGCUAUGUGCGGAAGGGAUAAGUGCUGAAAGCAUCUAAGCAUGAAGCCCCCCUCAAGAUGAGAUUUCCCAUAGCGUAAGCUAGUAAGAUUCCUGAAAGAUGAUCAGGUUGAUAGGUUCGAGGUGGAAGCAUGGUGACAUGUGGAGCUGACGAAUACUAAUAGAUCGAGGACUUAACCAU